GCAAACUUGGUCAUUUAGAGGAAGUAAAAGUCGUAACAAGGUCAUCGUAGGUGAACCUGCGGUGGGAUCAUUCAUGAAGAAGGAACCCUGCGCGUGUGACAGGCCGAAAGAGAACAGCGUUUCUCGAGUAGGUUGGUUUGCGAGCAGGGAAUAUCCAAUGGGACACCUUGUGUGCACUGUCGCUCUGCGAUCUCUUUUUGGCGCACAUUCGAGUUGUUCGCUCGCGGGGCGGGCAGCCGGAUGCGCGCCAGAGACUUUGGCUUAUUACGUGGUUUUUGUUUGUAUGUCUGAAAUUUUCAAACGAAAUGAAAAUACAACUUUCAACAACGGAUCUCUUGGCUCUCGCAUCGAUGAAGAACGCAGC
rnacentral:misc_RNA from 1 species